CAGACUUUGAUCAUGGCUCAGGAUGAACGCUAGCUACAGGCUUAACACAUGCAAGUCGAGGGGAAACGAUAUUGGAAGCUUGCUUCCGAUAGGCGUCGACCGGCGCACGGGUGAGUAACGCGUAUCCAACCUGCCCAUCACUUGGGAAUAACCUUGCGAAAGUAAGACUAAUGCCCAAUGACAUUUAUAGAAGGCAUCGGAAAUGAAUUAAAGAUUUAUCGGUGACGGAUGGGGAUGCGUCUGAUUAGCUUGUUGGCGGGGUAACGGCCCACCAAGGCUACGAUCAGUAGGGGUUCUGAGAGGAAGGUCCCCCACAUUGGAACUGAGACACGGUCCAAACUCCUACGGGAGGCAGCAGUGAGGAAUAUUGGUCAAUGGACGAGAGCCUGAACCAGCCAAGUAGCGUGCAGGAUGACGGCUCUAUGGGUUGUAAACUGCUUUACAGGGGAAUAAAGUGAGCCACGUGUGGUUUUUUGCAUGUACCCUAUGAAUAAGGACCGGCUAAUUCCGUGCCAGCAGCCGCGGUAAUACGGAAGGUUCGGGCGUUAUCCGGAUUUAUUGGGUUUAAAGGGAGCGUAGGCCGGAGAUUAAGCGUGUUGUGAAAUGUAGAUGCUCAACAUCUGCACUGCAGCGCGAACUGGUUUCCUUGAGUACGCAUAAAGUGGGCGGAAUUCGUGGUGUAGCGGUGAAAUGCUUAGAUAUCACGAAGAACUCCGAUUGCGAAGGCAGCUCACUGGGGCGCAACUGACGCUGAAGCUCGAAAGCGCGGGUAUCGAACAGGAUUAGAUACCCUGGUAGUCCGCGCGGUAAACGAUGGAUGCCCGCUGUUGGGCCAACUGGUUCAGCGGCCAAGCGAAAGCAUUAAGCAUCCCACCUGGGGAGUACGCCGGCAACGGUGCAACUCAAAGGAAUUGA
rnacentral:rRNA from 1 species